CUCGUCGGUCCUGUCCCACCCCCGCCGCCCUCGGCCUGCCCUUGCAGUCCUGCGUGCGGCCUGGGCGCUGGGGCCGCCCUCGGCUCUGCGGGACGGCGCUACCCUCCCUGUGCAUCGGUGCGGCGCCGUCUGCCGGGCUGUCAGUCUGUCCUGCGCCGUCGGUCCGUGCAGGCCGGCUCCUCCCUGUGGGCGCUUGGCCCUGCGCACCCCCCUCCGCUCGGGCGCCAGCCCCCCCGGGGCCUCUCCGGCCACCGAUCCCGCCAGGGCCCCUGGCGGGACGCGCCUCCGCGGCAGGGACCUGGCUGUGUCCCCUUCCCGGGCCGGCUGAGAACCACAUUGGGCCGGCCUAGCCAGCGUUUGUAGAUGGAAGGAAUGACGAAAGGCCCGAGGGCUGGUGGCCACAAAUUCAUUAACAUGGAAGAGUGGGUUGAUGGAUAUUUCUUCAUGGACAUUUGGGUUGUUUCUAGUUUUUGCCUGCUGCGAAUAAAGCUCCUAUAAACAUUCCUGGGCCUGGAUCCAGCUGCCCCCCCAGAUCCAGAUCCCAGCCCAGCUGUAGCCUCCAUCGUGGCUGAGGGAGGGAUACCGUCCCU